rnacentral:rRNA from 1 species
UACGGAAGGCAGCAGUGGGGAAUAUUGCACAAUGGGCGAAAGCCUGAUGCAGCUAUGCCGCGUGUAUGAAGAAGGCCUUAGGGUUGUAAAGUACUUUCAUCGGGGAGGAAAAAACAAAACUAAUAAUUUUAUUUCUUGACGUUACCCGAAAAAGAAGCACCGGCUAACUCCGUGCCAGCAGCCGCGGUAAUACGGAGGGUGCUAGCGUUAAUCAGAAUUACUGGGCGUAAAGAGCACGUAGGUGGUUUUUUUAAAGUCAGAUGUGAAAUCCCUGGGCUUAACCUAGGAACUGCAUUUUGAAACUGAAAUACUAGAGUAUCGUAGAGGGAGGUAGAAUUCUAGGUGUAGCGGUGAAAUGCGUAGAUAUCUGGAGGAAUACCUGUGGCGAAAGCGGCCUCCUAAACGAAUACUGACACUGAGGUGCGAAAGCGCGGGGAGCAAACAGGGAUUAGAUACC